rnacentral:rRNA from 1 species
UGGGGAAUUUUGGACAAUGGGCGAAAGCCUGAUCCAGCAAUGCCGCGUGUGUGAAGAAGGCCUUCGGGUUGUAAAGCACUUUUGUCCGGAAAGAAAUGGCUCUGGUUAAUACCUGGGGUCGAUGACGGUACCGGAAGAAUAAGGACCGGCUAACUACGUGCCAGCAGCCGCGGUAAUACGUAGGGUCCAAGCGUUAAUCGGAAUUACUGGGCGUAAAGCGUGCGCAGGCGGUUGUGCAAGACCGAUGUGAAAUCCCCGAGCUUAACUUGGGAAUUGCAUUGGUGACUGCACGGCUAGAGUGUGUCAGAGGGGGGUAGAAUUCCACGUGUAGCAGUGAAAUGCGUAGAGAUGUGGAGGAAUACCGAUGGCGAAGGCAGCCCCCUGGGAUAACACUGACGCUCAUGCACGAAAGCGUGGGGAGCAAACAGGAUUAGAUACCCUGGUAGUCCACGCCCUAAACGAUGUCAACUAGUUGUUGGGGAUUCAUUUCCUUAGUAACGUAGCUAACGCGUGAAGUUGAUCCGCCUGGGGAGUACGGUCGCAAGAUUAAAAGCU